rnacentral:rRNA from 1 species
UACGUAGGUGGCAAGCGUUGUCCGGAUUUAUUGGGUUUAAAGGGUGCGUAGGCGGCCUAUUAAGUCAGUGCUGAAAUAUCCCGGCUUAACCGGGAGGGUGGCAUUGAUACUGAUGGGCUUGAGUGGAGUCGAGGUAGGCGGAAUUGACGGUGUAGCGGUGAAAUGCUUAGAUAUCGUCAAGAACACCGAUAGUGUAGACAGCUUACUAGACUUCAACUGACGCUGAGGCACGAAAGUGUGGGGAUCAAACAGGAUUAGAAACCCCCGUAGUCC